rnacentral:misc_RNA from 1 species
GGCCUUUCAAGAUCAUCCUAUGUACCAUUAAAGCUUUGCUUCAAUAAAUAGUGUUGUUUUUAAUCACAUAGCAUAAAAAAGGAGUACAAAAACAGAAACGCACCGUUUUCCUGAUAGCCCUAUUACCUGGACAAAUUACAAGUCCAGAACCAAGCAUUAAUCAUAUGCCUAUGAUAGGCGCCUCCACAACGCUGGACGAUCUCUUGAUAUGAGGAGGACACGAGAUGCCAAGUAGUCAAAAGAAGGGGAAUACAUGUCAUCUGGGCCAAUAACAUCUUUUUCCUUUUUGGUACUACCAUAAUCAAUGGUGGAAGAGUAAAUGCCGUCAUCCUUCAAGGCAUCAAAGACAAACAGCCCUAGUCCGCAAACACACAUUACAAACUCAGAAUUUCCCCAAACCUGUGUUAUGGCUGAGUAAUGCGAGUGAGUAUUCGAUUCUGGCAUAGAGUAUGUGCUGACUAUCCUUUGUUUGCGCAAUGAAAACUGUUGCACAUGUGAACAAGGUUCUUUUUUCCCUGCAGACCUCGUAUUAGUACAGCCAAUGUAGAUUGAGUCUCCACGAGUAAACAUUGACUGGGCGCUAACACCAAUUUUAGGUAUCUUAAGACCUACACCAGAUGGAAGGCGAAAGUCUAAAACAUUAACAGCAUCAGGGGUGCAGAACACACCAUCAUUUCCUUCAGCUUCUGCAGAAGUUACCCUUUGCCGAACCCCACCACCUAAUUCAGCAUCAGUGUUAAUCACAUGAAGAGCAGAUAUUUUUUGACCAGACAAAGAAAUAGAUAACAAUGAUUGUUGGUUAAGAGAGUUGACAUCCCACACAGAAAUUGUUUCCGAUUGAGCUAUAACUACUUUUCCUCUGUUUCUCCACUGCAAAGGACUUGAAUUAUCCAUUGCUAACACAGGCUUCUGCACCUCCCAUUUCAUUACUUGCUCUCCAUCACGUAUAUCAAAUAUCUUGACAACCCUUUGAGAGCUGGCAGUAGAAACGAUAAGAGGCCCGCAUGGCCUAUACCACCAUUGUCGGGUUUCUGGCAAUGACAUGCCAGACAAAGCAUUUCUUCUGCAAGCAGUAUUACAGGGAAUGGGACCUAGUAUUGUUCUUGAAGUGGUUGUUUCUCCAUCCUCUAUGUGAGAAGCUCGCACAUCUUUGGUAUAGAAAUCCCAUGAACAAAAUCCCGAAUCAAGAGUAUUCCCAGCAGAUGCAGCCACAACAUAUCUCCCCGAGCAUCCAUCAGCACUAGGUGCACGGAUUAUCCAACAAUCUCUCCACAUAUUAGGUGAGACUCCCUCUGGAGGCUUGUAUACAGCCUUUUCCUCGCAAUUAGCAAUAUCAUAAAAGGAGCAUGAUCCAUCAUCAUGAGCAAGAAGAACAGACUCUCCCUCUGACACAAACCAUCCUCCUGUUGAAUUUCUGGAGCUUAUUUGUUUAACUUGAUAGACAGAAGUAUCUUCAGUCUCCUCACAAAUUACAACUGCUUGUCUAUUUUCCUGGUCAUCAAACUCAUCAAAUGUCUCAUCAGUUGUAAGAUCAAGCUCCUCACUACACUUGCCAUGGUAAUUGAUCAAAGAAUCUUGUUUUCCUGAAGCUGCAGCACCAUUAGUUUCUUUAACUUCACAAAAUUCAAAGCCGGCCUUUGCAUCUCUCAGAGUUACCUUUGUGUCCUUAUUAAGUGAAGCCAACAAAUCUAGUGCUAUUGGAUUUUCUUCAGUAGGGCUCAACAACUUCUCUUUGACCUUUGACUCACAAAUUGAGUCAGGGAAAUUAGAUUCAUUGCAACUCUGAGAACUUCCUGAUGCUUCCUUCAAUGAUGUUCUAUUUCUAAGCACCUUAUGAUGAGGAAAGAGUCUUGCUUCAAGUUCCUCUUUGUUCAAGCCCUUAACUGAACCCUUCACCUGAUCUGCUUUCUCAUUUUUAUUCUUCCCAAAUACCUCAUUCUCCCCACCAUCAUUUCCACUGAUUUUGGAUGAAUCACCUCCUACAUGUCCAAUUGCCUUCUCAAUCCCUGAAAUCUUGUCCUGAAUAUCUGAAAGUAUCACCUUGGAUGCAUCUGGAUUAUUCAUAUCCAACAUCUCCUUUGUCCUCUUAAUGUCAGAUGCGAUCCUCUUCACCUUCCCUUCUAGAAAUGCAAGCUUCUCAUGAAGCUUGCUCGAAUAUUUAACACCAGGCUUGCUACCAGUACUCUCUUCAAUCGAGUACUUCUCCUCCAAACUCUCCAAAACUCUAGCUUUGCUACCAGUUCUCUCACCUGACUCUUUUUGACAAUCAAAUUUAUCAGACCCAGAUUUAUCUGUGCAUAACUUAUCUAUUUUAACACCUUUUGGGAUUUUGGAGACUAAAUUUGAACCAGCAACAUCAUCAACCUUACUUGAUUUUAUGGAGCUCGAGGUUAAAUUAACCCCUUUGUUAUAAUUACCAUUCAAAGCCCUAUAUCCACUUGAAUUCUUCUCAUUUUCCUCUGCUUUCACAACAUUUCGUUCACAAAAUUCACUCUUCUUCCCUAAUUCAGCACCAAAUCCACUAUUUUCUUUACAAUCUCUAAAAACUCUAGUCCCAGUCUUUUUCCCUGCACUCGACACCAUACGCCUAUCACUAUCUCCCUUAGAAACCCUAGAAUCUCUAAAAACCCUAAUGAACUCAGAAGGGCUUGAACUCCUACCUCGGGGCACCGAUGACGCAGACCAUCUUACGCGCCCUUCACUGUCACUCCCCGGAACAACAGCGGCGGCAGCCUUGUCGACACGAGGCACUGACCGGAUCGUGGGCUUCUGGGCCCGAGAAUUAAGUCUGAGAUUCUCUCUACCGGAGAGUGAUUUUCUGAGAGCGGAACCUGGGUUUGGUUCCGAGGUUGGAAUUGGGGCAAGGGUUUUCGUGGAUGUUUGAACGGCAGAGGUUUUGGCUCCGGCGCCGUUACGAUCCUUGAGCCUGCGAGCCGAUUGAGCUGACAUGAGGCUUUUGAUAGAUUAAUUAGACAAUAAUUGAAGACUUUGGUAUUUGAAUUGAUUGAGGAGAGA